rnacentral:rRNA from 1 species
AGAAUCAACGCUGGCGGCGUGCCUAACACAUGCAAGUCGAACGAGAAAGUGGGAGCAAUCCCACGAGUAAAGUGGCGCACGGGUGAGUAACACGUGACUAACCUACCCUUGAGUGGGGGAUAACCUAGGGAAACCUGGGCUAAUACCGCAUAAUACCUACGGGUCAAAGGAGCAAUUCGCUUUAGGAGGGGGUCGCGGCAGAUUAGUUAGUUGGCGGGUAAUGGCCCACCAAGACAGUGAUCUGUA